rnacentral:rRNA from 1 species
CUAGAUUAGCCAUGCAUGUCUAAGUAUAAGCAAUUAUACAGCGAAACUGCGAAUGGCUCAUUAAAUCAGUUAUCGUUUAUUUGAUAGUACCUUACUACAUGGAUAACCGUGGUAAUUCUAGAGCUAAUACAUGCUGAAAACCCCGACUCCGGAAGGGGUGUAUUUAUUAGAUUAAAAACCAAUGCCCUCCGGGGCUUACUGGUGAUUCAUGAUAACUUCUCGAAUCGCACGGCCUUGCGCCGGCGAUGGUUCAUUCAAAUUUCUGCCCUAUCAACUUUCGACGGCUGGGUCUUGGCCAGCCGUGGUGACAACGGGUAACGGAGGGUUAGGGCUCGACCCCGGAGAAAACGCCUGAGAAACGGCGUUUACAUCCAAGGAAGGCAGCAGGCGCGCAAAUUACCCAAUGCCGACACGGCGAGGUAGUGACGAGAAAUACUGAUACAGGGCUCUUUUGGGUCUUGUAAUUGGAAUGAGUACAAUUUAAAUCCCUUAACGAGGAACAAUUGGAGGGCAAGUCUGGUGCCAGCAGCCGCGGUAAUUCCAGCUCCAAUAGCGUAUAUUAAAGUUGUUGCAGUUAAAAAGCUCGUAGUUGAACCUUGGGCCUGGCUGGCCGGUCCGCCUCACCGCGUGCACUGGUCCGGCCGGGCCUUUCCCUCUGGGGAACCCCAUGCCCUUCACUGGGCGUGGCGGGGAACCAGGACUUUUACUUUGAAAAAAUUAGAGUGUUCAAAGCAGCCUAUGCUCGAAUACAUUAGCAUGGAAAUAAUAGAAUAGGACGUGCGGUUCUAUUUUGUUGGUUUCUAGGACCGCCGUAAUGAUUAAUAGGGACAGUCGGGGGCGUCAGUAUUCAAUUGUCAGAGGUGAAAUUCUUGGAUUUAUUGAAGACUAACUACUGCGAAAGCAUUCGCCA